rnacentral:rRNA from 1 species
GAUGAACGCUAGCGGCAGGCCUAAUACAUGCAAGUCGGACGGGAUUCAGGAGCUUGCUUCUGCUGAGAGUGGCGCACGGGUGCGUAACACGUAUGUAACCUACCUUUAUCAGGGGGAUAGCCUCUCGAAAGAGAGAUUAAUCCCGCAUAAAAUCACAGCACAGCAUUGUGUAAUGAUCAAAUAUUUAUAGGAUAAAGAUGGGCAUGCGGAACAUUAGCUAGAUGGCGGGGUAACGGCCCACCAUGGCGACGAUGUUUAGGGGAUCUGAGAGGAUGGCCCCCCACACUGGUACUGAGACACGGACCAGACGCCUACGGGAGGCAGCAGUAAGGAAUAUUGGUCAAUGGGCGGAAGCCUGAACCAGCCAUGCCGCGUGCAGGAAGACGGCCCUACGGGUUGUAAACUGCUGUUAUACGGGAAGAAACCCAGAUAAGUGUAUAUGGCUGAAUGUACUGUAAGAAUAAGGAUCGGCUAACCCCGUG